rnacentral:misc_RNA from 1 species
GAUGAAGAACAUAGCGAAAUGCGAUAAGUAAUGUGAAUUGCAGAAUUCAGUGAAUCAUCGAAUCUUUGAACGCACAUCGCGCCCAUUAGUAUUCUAGUGGGCAUGCCUGUUCGAGCGUCAUUUCAACCCUUAAGCCUAGCUUAGUGUUGGGAAUCUGCUGUAUUGCAGUUCCUCAAAUACAACGGCGGAUCUGUAACAUCCUCUGAGCGUAGUAAAUUUUUAUCUCGCUUUUGUUAGGUGUUGCAGCUCUCAGCCGCUAAACCCCCCAAUUUUUGUGGUUGACCUCGGAUCAGGUAGGAAUACCCACUGAACUUAAGCAUAUCAAUAAGCGGAGGA